GAUGAACGCUGACAGAAUGCUUAACACAUGCAAGUCCACUUGAACUUCGGUUUGGGUGGCGGACGGGUGAGUAACGCGUAAAGAACUUGCCUCACAGAUAGGGACAACAUUUGGAAACGAAUGCUAAUACCUGAUAUUAUGAUUAUAUGGCAUCGUAUAAUUAUGAAAGCUAUAUGCGCUGUGAGAGAGCUUUGCGUCCCAUUAGCUAGUUGGAGAGGUAACGGCUCACCAAGGCGAUGAUGGGUAGCCGGCCUGAGAGGGUGAUCGGCCACAAGGGGACUGAGACACGGCCCUUACUCCUACGGGAGGCAGCAGUGGGGAAUAUUGGACAAUGGACCAAGAGUCUGAUGCAGCAAUUCUGUGUGCACGAUGAAGUUUUUCGGAAUGUAAAGUGCUUUCAGUUGGGAAGAAAAAAAUGACGGUACCAACAGAAGAAGUGACGGCUAAAUACGUG
rnacentral:rRNA from 1 species